AUGUGUGCUUUUGUAUCACUGUGGUGGACUUUCGGCAGCGGCACCAAACUGGAUGUUGGCAGCGUCACUCGUCCUAAAGUGAGCGUCCUGCCGCCCUCCAGUGCAGAGAUCUCCUCAAAGAAGACAGCGACACUGGUGUGUGUGGCCAGCAAGGGCUUCCCGUCAGACUGGAGCCUGAGCUGGAAGGUGGACGGGAGCAGCAGGUCUCAGGAGAGCAGCGCUGGGCUCCUGGAGAAGGACGGUCUGUACAGCUGGAGCAGCAGCCUGACUCUCUCUGAGCAGGAGUGGAUGGAGAGCGUCUCAGUGAGCUGUGAGGCCACACGGAGCGGUCAGCCUGCGCUCACUGGACACGUGACGAGACAGCAGUGUUCAGAGUAGAUCUGCUGCUCUUCUCACUCAUGUCUCACAUGGAGACUAACAGCACAUGAGCGACUCCUUCAUUCUCCACAUCCAGCUUCAGUCGCUCGCAUCUGCAUCUGCUCUGCUUUGUGUGCUUCAUACAAGAACAUAUGUGUCUGCUUUAUCAUUCAGUUAUGAUGCUAUUACAAUUCAGUCAAUAAAUAAAAUACAAUAGUAACUU